rnacentral:rRNA from 1 species
AACUUUCAACAACGGAUCUCUUGGUUCUGGCAUCGAUGAAGAACGCAGCGAAAUGCGAUAAGUAAUGUGAAUUGCAGAAUUCAGUGAAUCAUCGAAUCUUUGAACGCACAUUGCGCCCCUUGGUAUUCCG